rnacentral:rRNA from 1 species
UACGGGAGGCAGCAGUGGGGAAUAUUGCACAAUGGGCGAAAGCCUGAUGCAGCUAUGCCGCGUGUAUGAAGAAGGCCUUAGGGUUGUAAAGUACUUUCAUCGGGGAGGAAAAACAAAACUAAUAAUUUUAUUUCUUGACGUUACCCGAAAAAGAAGCACCGGCUAACUCCGUGCCAGCAGCCGCGGUAAUACGGAGGGUGCUAGCGUUAAUCAGAAUUACUGGGCGUAAAGAGCACGUAGGUGGUUUUUUUAAGUCAGAUGUGAAAUCCCUGGGCUUAACCUAGGAACUGCAUUUUGAAACUGAAAUACUAGAGUAUCGUAGAGGGAGGUAGAAUUCUAGGUGUAGCGGUGAAAUGCGUAGAUAUCUGGAGGAAUACCUGUGGCGAAAGCGGCCUCCUAAACGAAUACUGACACUGAGGGUGCGAAAGCGUGGAGAGCAAACAGGGAUUAGAUACC